rnacentral:rRNA from 1 species
UUUAUGGAGAGUUUGAUCCUGGCUCAGGAUGAACGCUGGCGGCGUGCCUAAUACAUGCAAGUCGAGCGAACGGACGAGAAGCUUGCUUCUCUGAUGUUAGCGGCGGACGGGUGAGUAACACGUGGAUAACCUACCUAUAAGACUGGGAUAACUUCGGGAAACCGGAGCUAAUACCGGAUAAUAUUUUGAACCGCAUGGUUCAAAAGUGAAAGACGGUCUUGCUGUCACUUAUAGAUGGAUCCGCGCUGCAUUAGCUAGUUGGUAAGGUAACGGCUUACCAAGGCAACGAUGCAUAGCCGACCUGAGAGGGUGAUCGGCCACACUGGAACUGAGACACGGUCCAGACUCCUACGGGAGGCAGCAGUAGGGAAUCUUCCGCAAUGGGCGAAAGCCUGACGGAGCAACGCCGCGUGAGUGAUGAAGGUCUUCGGAUCGUAAAACUCUGUUAUUAGGGAAGAACAUAUGUGUAAGUAACUGUGCACAUCUUGACGGUACCUAAUCAGAAAGCCACGGCUAACUACGUGCCAGCAGCCGCGGUAAUACGUAGGUGGCAAGCGUUAUCCGGAAUUAUUGGGCGUAAAGCGCGCGUAGGCGGUUUUUUAAGUCUGAUGUGAAAGCCCACGGCUCAACCGUGGAGGGUCAUUGGAAACUGGAAAACUUGAGUGCAGAAGAGGAAAGUGGAAUUCCAUGUGUAGCGGUGAAAUGCGCAGAGAUAUGGAGGAACACCAGUGGCGAAGGCGACUUUCUGGUCUGUAACUGACGCUGAUGUGCGAAAGCGUGGGGAUCAAACAGGAUUAGAUACCCUGGUAGUCCACGCCGUAAACGAUGAGUGCUAAGUGUUAGGGGGUUUCCGCCCCUUAGUGCUGCAGCUAACGCAUUAAGCACUCCGCCUGGGGAGUACGACCGCAAGGUUGAAACUCAAAGGAAUUGACGGGGACCCGCACAAGCGGUGGAGCAUGUGGUUUAAUUCGAAGCAACGCGAAGAACCUUACCAAAUCUUGACAUCC